CAGGCAGUAGGAAAAAACAAGUGUUUUAGCCAUAUUUGCAAACUAGGUAGAGUUGUUAGAAUUAGAAUUUACCACCUAAGUGUAAACCCACCCUGAUUUACGCAGUCAGAUUCAGACUUUACUUCUCAACUACUUUGCUUAUGAGUCACUCCUGUAAGAGAAAUGAGAAAUAAUAGAAUUAACAUACAAAUUUGCUUGUGUUUUAUAUAUGUAUAUAUAUGUAUGUAUAUGUAUGUAUAUUUAUUUAUGCCUGCUAUAUGGAAACUAUAUACAUAAGCUAGGUUAAUAAUUGUUUUUUUCCUACUCACAGAUUCAAAAGGAAAUAAUUAUCACUCAUGGUACAGACGAGCAAACUGAGACUAAUUUUAGUUCUUCUCAUACUGACAGAUGCUUGAUAGAGAAGAUACUUGUUGCCUGAAAUAUAAGACGUCACUAUCAUAAUUUCUAUAAGGAAAUAUAAAAUAUUGUUUUUGAGCUGGAGUCUAUAAUGAAACAUUGCCAUUGAAAAUUGACCCAGGUAGAAAAUUAAGGCUCAUAAUGCUACUACAAAGACACAUGCACAUGUAUGUUUAUUGCUGCACUGUUCACAAUAGCGAAGACUUGGAACCAACCCAAAUGUCCAUCAAUGACUGGAUUAAGAAAAUGUGGCACAUAAACACCAUGGAAGAUUAUGCAGCCAUAAAAAAAGUUGAGUUCAUAUCCUUUGGAGCGACAUGGAUGAAGCUGGAAACCAUCAUUCUGAGCAAACUAUCACAAGGACAGAAAACCAAACACCGCAUGUUCUCACUCAUAGGUGGGAACUGAACAAUGAGAACACAGGGACACAGGAAGGGGAACAUCACACACUGGGGCCUGUCGUGGGGUGGGGGAAUGGGGGAGGGAUAGCAUUAGGAGGAAUACCUAAUGUAAAUGACGAGUUAAUGGGUGCAGCAAACCAACAUGGCACAUGUAUACAUAUGUAACAAACCUGCAUGUUGUGCACAUGUACCCUAGAACUUAAAGUAUAAUAAAAAAAAAAAAGAAAAUUAAGGCUAUUUGUAAUAGGUCAAAAAUAAUUAAGAAAGUACCAAUCUUUAGGAAAGGUAAAUAUUGAUGUCACAGUUUGCCCAUAGGAACAUAUCACAAUCUCUGGUGACUUGGAGUGUGAGGAUAUUGGUUCACAAGGUUAAAUAAGAAUGGAAAAAAGAGGGAGAAAUUUCAAAACACAUCUAACCAGAUUUCCAGACAUGUUAAGGAGAAAUUGGAGGGAGGAAGAAUUUAAAACAAUGCCGGGUAAGAAUUAUCCUGACAAUGAAAUCUAGCCAUUCUUGGGUUUAGGAAGUCAUUAAAUACUGAGUUGAAAAGAAAUGAAGGCUCUAUACAAGUACAAAUCACUGAGCUGCAGAACAGUAAUGAAGGAAAAAAAAAUCUUAAAAGCAGCCAGAGGAAAAAAAUACAGAUAAUUUAAAAAUUAAUGGCAAGCAGAACAAAGAGCUGACUUUUUAACAGCAAUAGUGAAAGGAAGCAGUUGACUUUAUCUUCAAGGUAUGGUGAAGAAACAACAGACCAUCAGAAUGCUAUGCCCAGUGUUAAGAAUUAAAUUGUCUCCCAAAAAGUACUUAUAGGUGGGCAUGGCUUGACAGUGUGGACAAUCAAUUAGGAAAGGGUAGGUUUAUGUAAAAUAGGUGAGGGGUGGAGGUCAAUCAGAGGAAAACGCGCCAAAUGGGAAGACAAGUUCUCAAUUGUUGCUUGGCUUUCAGGCUUUAAACUGUCUUUGGCUUGGAGGGGUUUCCCCGGGAGCCCACCCCUCUCUACCUAGGCAUUUAGCUGCCUUCUGCCACUCUCAGUACCACAAACUGAGUUGCCUAAAACAACAAAAUUUAUUUCUUUCACAAUUUUGAUAUCUAAAAGUUUGAAAUCAAGGUGUCAGCAGGACCACGCUCCUUCUAAAACCUGCAGUAGAGAAUCCUUUCCUGCUUCUUUUGAGUUUCUGGUGUUUUAUUGGCGAUUCUUUGCAUACCUUGCCGUGUAGCUACCACACUUCAACCUCUACCUCCAUUGUCACAUGAUAUUAUCUCUUGUGUCUCUUUGUCUCUUUUCCUCUUUUUACAAAGGCACCAGUCAUAUUGGAUUAAUGGCUCAUCCUACUUCACUAUGACUUUAUCUUAACUUAAAUAGUUACAUCUGUAAGGACCCAAUUUCCAAAUAAAGUCACAAUCUGAGAUACUGUGUGUUAGGACUUCAACAUAUGCCCGGCAUUUGGUUUUUUAAACAUAAUCUUUUAUUAUUACUGAAAUCAUAAAUAUUUAUUGUAUAAAUUAAUGACAUUUACACUGGCAAAAAGAAAAUAAGAUAAAAUGUCACAUUGUCACUAUCCAUAAAUUAUUGUUGUUAAUAUUUUAGAUUAUAUUUCUGUACCAUUUAUAUGCAAACUACACAGAUACAAAACAAACAUGUGCCAUUAUUUUUACUGACUUUUAAAAAUAAAUGUAUUAGUUAACCUUUUAAUAAACUAUUUUGUAAUAGUUGAUUUACAAAAAAAGCUGAAAUGAUAUCUUUUUAUAAUCUUGAUUUUUCAAUAAUUGAUCUCCAUUAUUUCAUUUCAGAAACUUACCAAUACAUAGAUGAUAUUAACGUUUUCUGAAAUCUCUAUACAAACAGAAUAUAUGUCAUACCUCUGAUUGUUGUUCUCUUAAAUCACAUUUAAUCUAAUAAAACCCAGUUUUUCAUGAGGUUUGGCUAAUUUUCUCACAGAAUGUUCCAACUUCUGGAUUUCUCUGCUUGCUUGUUUUGCUUUCUUUUGGUAGGUUAUGAUUGAUUCACUUUUUAUUGACAUUUCAUAGUAAGUCAUAAAUAAAAUG
rnacentral:lncRNA from 1 species